rnacentral:rRNA from 1 species
GUCCUAGCCCUAAACGAUGCUCAUUAGAUGUGGGAGGUAUCGACCCCUUCCGCGUCGCAGCUAACGCAUUAAAUGAGCCGCCUGGGGAGUACUGCCGCAAGGUUGAAACUCAAAGGAAUUGACGGGGGCCCGCACAAGCGGUGGAACAUGUGGUUUAAUUCGACGCAACGCGAAGAACCUUACCUGGGCUUGAACUACAGAUGGUAGGUCGCUGGAAACAGUGGCCGACCCGCAAGGGAGUCUGCAGAGGUGCUGCAUGGUUGUCGU